ensembl:lncRNA
GAAUUGUCCACAAUCGUCUGCUUUUGUGAUGUGUUUUACAGUUGUCUUGAAGCACAAUAGGCCCAAUUCAUGUUCAACCCUUCCAAGGAAUUGCAGACUGCAGCUACUUACAGGCAUUCCAUUGGCACAAGGUGGUAACUUUUCCUCAAGUAUCUGCAUUUAUGAUAGAUUUCUUUCAGACAAAGCUCCUUUCCUUUCUAGUUACAAAAGAGAGUGCCCCAGAAGGAACAAAAUAAAUGUUCAAGCAUUUACUCCCAGAACUAAAUCUUUUGCAUUUUUACAAUGGUUUUGAUUGAAAGAGAGACUAAAUCCAGGAUUCACUUUACAGUAAAUGCCCUCAAGACUAGGCUGGAAAGUCAAAUUUCUUCUGAUCUCUCUCUCUCUCCAUCAGACACAUCCCCCAGACACAGAAUAGGAGACCGAUAACGUUCCUUAUCCAGGAACCUUUCCAAAUGUAGCAGUUCGUGUCUGUUUUAAAAUGUGAAUACUUACGAAAAGAUGAUGGGAUGAACAUCAAUAUACUUCUGUUACAGAACACAUCAAAUUAGAAGUACAAUGGAAAAGCCUAAGCAGCAGAGAUAUGACAGACCUCAGAGGCAUUACUUGGUAUUUACACUGUGGAGAAGGAUCUAUAAAGUUUCUAAGCUACAUUAAGAAAAAAUGACUUCAAAAUUGGACCAGAGAGAUAACACCACUUAUGAUCCUCUUGCUUGGAAUGAGAGCAAUGCAGUACAUUCGAACAACACACUGAGUUACUAUUGACCCAUCUGGGACAAUCCUGACUACUGAAGAAAUGGGAGAUGAUCAUACGAAGUAUAUUUUCUGGAAAUGAUAUAAGCCAGGAAAUUCUCUUUUUUUGACAGAGGUUUGGAAUAUGUCUGUCUAAUUCACUCUCUGAUUCUUUUUGUAUCUGUCACAACCUCAGUGGUGGGAAAAUUCUAGAUUUUUCAUCCAAGGAAUAUUUCCUGUGCUGUGCCCUCAGACAUCUUUCAUGGCAUGGCAGAAAACCCAUACGUACUCAUUUUUAAGUAGAAUUUAUAUUAAUGAACUUGUGUCACCUGUGUGUCUUGGCUCCUUCUACAGCCAAUGCAGAGAUGUAAUUCACUGGUUGUAUUCUGCAGUGGGAAGCUACUCAGUGCAAUCAAUACACACAAAUGUGGCACAGUUUUCAUCUCAGAAACAAAUGAUUGAUGUAACAUUUUCAGGGCCAUUCAGAAGCAGCAUACAAUGACCAGGAAGAGUUUUUCUUUUCCUGGGAGUACACAUAAGUGAAAGCUUAUGUGAGCCAUCCUCCUGGACACCUAUCCACUGACGGUGCCUUCAUUUGUUCCAAAAAGUAUUCAAAUUGACAUCUAGUCAGCACAGAUCACAAGGAGUAACCCUCAGGUUGCAGCAAAUAGCAGUGUACAAAACCCAUGAGGUAUUUAAGAUACAAAAAUUUGACCUUGAGGUCCCUGAAAAGUAGCUGAAAAGUUUCCAGUGCUAAUCUGGUCAUUUUUUUUCAUCACUGUGUGAAUCAUCUUGAUGUCUAACUUCAUUAGGACUAAGACAUGAUUAUAAGCCUCAAAGCAAGAGGACAACCUUUUAGUGGAACUCCUUAGAUGUUGUUAACCAGUACAACAAUGCUCAAAAUUCAGUAUUUGUUUAAUGGAUUUUGAAGGACCACAAACUAUCUGGGGUCAAUCAUUUGUAUGAUGCAGGGACUCAGAGCCUGGGAAUCAGAGGCUGACCAGAGCUGGGUGUCCUGGUAGACAACAGGUUGACCAUGAGCCAGCAGUGUGCAGUUGUGUCCAAGAAGGCCAAUGGUAUCCUGGGGUGCAUUAAAAAGAAUGUAACCGGCAUGUUGAGGGAGGUGAUCCUCCCCCUCUACUCUGACCAGGAAUCCUUCUUCAAACUGCAGAAGGGGUACUUCAUUUCCAUCUUCACUUUUUACUCUUCAUAUAAAACCUUAAUUUUGGGGGCUGUUCUAGAGAAAAAUGUCAGUGAGAAUCAGAUGUUUUAGCAUAAAUUUGUCAUGGGCCAUUUUCUUUGUGUAUUAUUAACAUGAACAUGAUUUAAAUAAAGCCUGUCAGACCUGUAGAGUCUAAGUGAGGAUAACAAAGGAGACAACAAAACCUCAAAAGGUAAAAGAACUUUUCAGAAUAUGUUCUAUGACAGAAGUUUUCUUAAUCCUUCAUUGACAAAUCUCAUUUGUUUUAUACACUUCUGAAUCUCAAAUAUGCCCUAGAAUAAAUAUAACAAGUUUAACAAUAUCUGAACGUAAAGAAUUCAAUUUGUUCAUUGCUCUUUUGAGUACUUCUUUUUCUCCUGCUAUUUUGAGUACUAUGAAGAUCUUCAUUUGUGUCACAGUGAAACUGCAUAUAUUGGUGGUAGUGUCAGUGUUCCUACUACUAUUAAUAUUAUUCUUAUUACUAUUGUUAUUGCUAUUUAUAAAUCUACCCCCAACAAUCAUCUUUCUGUUAUCUUAAAGCUUAAUGAACCGCACAUCAAUUCAUCAAAAAUUUUCAGUUGUGUUUUUGUUUAAUUCUGCAGAAGUAAAAAGUCAGGGAGAGAUAUCUUUGCUAAGAGUGUCGGUGGUCAAGAAUCAAGGAAAGAUGCAAGUUUCAUUUUUCCAUCCAGCAGAAAUGAAUUAAGCUCCUAUUGCUUCUCUUCAAAGUAGUUACCAGUUCACAUAUCUAUUCUGACAUGGCAGCAACAGGUCUUGUACCCAUAAUAAAAAUAUAGCCUCUGCCUGAUAGAGACUUGUUUUCAGAACACUGUUUGGUUGAAGUUCUAUCACAAUUUCAUGUCAUUUGCUUCACCUUGUUCUGCUGCAGUUAUAUAAAAUAUUUGCAUAAAAAUACUGUAAUGUUAUGCUUGGGACAUAGUAGGUAACAAAUGCAUGCUCUGAUCCCUUUUGGUAUUUAUGUAAAUGGAGUAAAACAAGAAUAAAAGGUAAUCAUAAGAUUUAACCAUAAAAUUCUGCCAUUUCAAGUAGGAGGAGCUCUGCCAUAAAAAACUGGGAAUUGAAUUCAAGGCUCUCACAGCAUAAGAAAAUGGUUAGUUGUUGGAUUCUUAAGGGGUUCAGUAAUGAUCCAAGCUGUCAGAGAUAUUGUGUAUUUAAAACUGAAUGGUUCCAUUAACUUUGAUUGAACUUUUUCUCUACUGUGUUAUUCUUUUCUUGUCUGUAAAAGAAGCCAUCAAUGUCACUGGGAAGCUUUCUGAGCUCUCAUAACUCAGGAGCAACAUGAAGCUGGUUUCCCAGCUGACACAAAUCAACAUAGCUCUGACAAAUCUCUGAUUUAUACCAGCUGAAAUGUUGGGACUCCACAAAGACAUCUAUCUUUCAGCUGUUGAAUGAUUAAUAUUCACAUCCUUUUUUAGCCUUCUACCUUCAUCUUGUUGAUAUUUCACAUUCCUCAGUACUCCUAAGCAGAGCAACAGUAAAAAAAGGAUGGCCGAUGGAAUUUUAUAUCAAGCAAAAUUUGUCAGCUGCACACUCAAAUCUGCAAUUGAAAGAACUACAAAGAAGAGAAUACAACUGCUGCUAUUGCAAAGAUAAAAAGCAGCUGGAUGGCUAUUGGGGCAUCCCUUCACUUAUCAUGACAAAAGCAACACCCAUGCAAAGCUUUUGAAGGAUUGUUACUAUACUGGAGAACCCAAGAGCUGAAAUGAUUCAAAUGACCCAGCAAUGAGGGAAUAUUGAGUGAAAGUGUACUAACUGACUUCAGGUUCAUAUUGUACAAAUGAAGUCAAAAUCUGGCUGAAAGCUAUGUAAUUUAUACCAAAGAAAUGCAGUCAAAGCUAUUACUUCUAACAAAAUAGCUGGAGGAAGGAGGGGAGAAAAGAAAGAAGAGGGAAAAAAAAAAAAAAAAAACAACCAAG